GAAAUAUUUUAUCGAUUUGCAUUUGCGGCAUGUUUGUUGUUCAGUGUGUAAACAUUGGUAGAUUCAAAAAUAAACCAAGAAAGUUAUAAGCCAGCAUACUUAUCGGGGGUGUUUAUACUCAUGAGUUUCCCUUUUCAUCUUUUUUUCUCUUUAAAGAACCCGUCUUCAACCAGUUUUGUAACGACAUAAAUAAGAUUUGUUUCAAUUUGUGUAUUUUGAUUUGUAAUCGGGACACUUAUUUUUGUUACCGUCACCGCUAUGCAUGUAAAAUAAUUAUAUUCAGAAUCGCUGCUGCAGAUUGGAAACACUGUAUGUAGUGUGCCGGUAAAUAGUUUGAAACUUGAAACUCGCA
rnacentral:lncRNA from 1 species